rnacentral:rRNA from 1 species
UAGGGAAUCUUCGGCAAUGGACGAAAGUCUGACCGAGCAACGCCGCGUGAGUGAAGAAGGUUUUCGGAUCGUAAAACUCUGUUGUUAGAGAAGAACAAGGACGUUAGUAACUGAACGUCCCCUGACGGUAUCUAACCAGAAAGCCACGGCUAACUACGUGCCAGCAGCCGCGGUAAUACGUAGGUGGCAAGCGUUGUCCGGAUUUAUUGGGCGUAAAGCGAGCGCAGGCGGUUUCUUAAGUCAGAUGUGAAAUCCCCGGGCUCAACCUGGGAACUGCAUCUGAUACUGGCAAGCUUGAGUCUCGUAGAGGGGGGUAGAAUUCCAGGUGUAGCGGUGAAAUGCGUAGAGAUCUGGAGGAAUACCGGUGGCGAAGGCGGCCCCCUGGACGAAGACUGACGCUCAGGUGCGAAAGCGUGGGGAGCAAACAGG